UGGGGAAUAUUGGACAAUGGGCGCAAGCCUGAUCCAGCCAUGCCGCGUGAGUGAUGAAGGCCUUAGGGUUGUAAAGCUCUUUUGUCCGGGAAGAUAAUGACUGUACCGGAAGAAUAAGCCCCGGCUAACUUCGUGCCAGCAGCCGCGGUAAUACGAAGGGGGCUAGCGUUGCUCGGAAUCACUGGGCGUAAAGGGCGCGUAGGCGGACUCUUAAGUCGGGGGUGAAAGCCCAGGGCUCAACCCUGGAAUUGCCUUCGAUACUGGGAGUCUUGAGUUCGGAAGAGGUUGGUGGAACUGCGAGUGUAGAGGUGAAAUUCGUAGAUAUUCGCAAGAACACCAGUGGCGAAGGCGGCCAACUGGUCCGAUACUGACGCUGAGGCGCGAAAGCGUGGGGAGCAAACAG
rnacentral:rRNA from 1 species